rnacentral:rRNA from 6 species
UAAGUGGGAAACGAUGUGGGAAGGCCCAGACAGCCAGGAUGUUGGCUUAGAAGCAGCCAUCAUUUAAAGAAAGCGUAAUAGCUCACUGGUCGAGUCGGCCUGCGCGGAAGAUGUAACGGGGCUAAACCAUGCACCGAAGCUGCGGCAGCGACACCGUGUGUUGUUGGGUAGGGGAGCGUUCUGUAAGCCUGUGAAGGUGUGCUGUGAGGCAUGCUGGAGGUAUCAGAAGUGCGAAUGCUGACAUAAGUAACGAUAAAGCGGGUGAAAAGCCCGCUCGCCGGAAGACCAAGGGUUCCUGUCCAACGUUAAUCGGGGCAGGGUGAGUCGACCCCUAAGGCGAGGCCGAAAGGCGUAGUCGAUGGGAAACGGGUUAAUAUUCCCGUACUUGGUGUUACUGCGAAGGGGGGACGGAGAAGGCUAUGUUGGCCGGGCGACGGUUGUCCCGGUUUAAGCGUGUAGGUAUGUGUUCCAGGUAAAUCCGGUUCACUUUAACACUGAGGCGUGACGACGAGGCACUACGGUGCUGAAGCAACAAAUGCCCUGCUUCCAGGAAAAGCCUCUAAGCAUCAGGUAACAUCAAAUCGUACCCCAAACCGACACAGGUGGUCAGGUAGAGAAUACCAAGGCGCUUGAGAGAACUCGGGUGAAGGAACUAGGCAAAAUGGUGCCGUAACUUCGGGAGAAGGCACGCUGACACGUAGGUGAAGUGAUUUACUCACGGAGCUGAAGUCAGCCGAAGAUACCAGCUGGCUGCAACUGUUUAUUAAAAACACAGCACUGUGCAAACACGAAAGUGGACGUAUACGGUGUGACGCCUGCCCGGUGCCGGAAGGUUAAUUGAUGGGGUCAGCGCAAGCGAAGCUCCUGAUCGAAGCCCCGGUAAACGGCGGCCGUAACUAUAACGGUCCUAAGGUAGCGAAAUUCCUUGUCGGGUAAGUUCCGACCUGCACGAAUGGCGUAAUGAUGGCCAGGCUGUCUCCACCCGAGACUCAGUGAAAUUGAACUCGCUGUGAAGAUGCAGUGUACCCGCGGCAAGACGGAAAGACCCCGUGAACCUUUACUAUAGCUUGACACUGAACAUUGAGCCUUGAUGUGUAGGAUAGGUGGGAGGCUUUGAAGUGUGGACGCCAGUCUGCAUGGAGCCGACCUUGAAAUACCACCCUUUAAUGUUUGAUGUUCUAACGUGGACCCGUGAUCCGGGUUGCGGACAGUGUCUGGUGGGUAGUUUGACUGGGGCGGUCUCCUCCUAAAGAGUAACGGAGGAGCACGAAGGUUGGCUAAUCCUGGUCGGACAUCAGGAGGUUAGUGCAAUGGCAUAAGCCAGCUUGACUGCGAGCGUGACGGCGCGAGCAGGUGCGAAAGCAGGUCAUAGUGAUCCGGUGGUUCUGAAUGGAAGGGCCAUCGCUCAACGGAUAAAAGGUACUCCGGGGAUAACAGGCUGAUACCGCCCAAGAGUUCAUAUCGACGGCGGUGUUUGGCACCUCGAUGUCGGCUCAUCACAUCCUGGGGCUGAAGUAGGUCCCAAGGGUAUGGCUGUUCGCCAUUUAAAGUGGUACGCGAGCUGGGUUUAGAACGUCGUGAGACAGUUCGGUCCCUAUCUGCCGUGGGCGCUGGAGAACUGAGGGGGGCUGCUCCUAGUACGAGAGGACCGGAGUGGACGCAUCACUGGUGUUCGGGUUGUCAUGCCAAUGGCACUGCCCGGUAGCUAAAUGCGGAAGAGAUAAGUGCUGAAAGCAUCUAAGCACGAAACUUGCCCCGAGAUGAGUUCUCCCUGAGACUUUAGGUCUCCUGAAGGAACGUUGAAGACGACGACGUUGAUAGGCCGGGUGUGUAAGCGCAGCGAUGCGUUGAGCUAACCGGUACUAAUGAACCGUGAGGCUUAACCUUACAACGCCGAAG